ensembl:lncRNA
AGCGAAUCCCCCACCGCCUGCCAUCGACAUAGCUUCCACCCGUGAGUUUCGUAAGGAUCUUGUGUAAGGCUGUUGUUACAUAGUCUUCAAUGGCUAUUACAUAUAUAUGUAGUAGCUAUCUACAGUGUUUCCAGAAGUCCGGAAAAUUGUCAGUCGCUCACGUCGCAUGUGAAGAUGUAUCCGAAAAGAAAAAGUGCAAUGGAUAGUCAAAUUAUUUCGGCAGAAAUUGCUUUAGGUCUUGUUCUGUGUACAGCAUAUCGGAUAAUUUCGAAGAACAUUUUCAGUCAACAGGAGGAGAGUCAACCUGUUGACAGUGAACAGUUUGAGCUAACAAGGUCACUAGUGUGUGUAUGGCUUGCAAGCAACAUAAAGUUCCUACUCAUUAAAUGCAACAGCAAUCCAGUUUCACUGUCUGCACAUUCAACAUCCAGGCUGAUUGCAUUUCUGGCACUUCUACUGGAUAGCUGCUACGGAAUUAAUUAUCAGAGACUAUAUACUAACGAACGGCCUACAGUGGACAUGGCCAUGUGUUCUUUCUUCAUAGUGAGCAGUGUUGUCCUCUUCUUUUUGGACCACAGCCAGCUGCAGAGCAGAGUGGACUUGCGCAUGAUCUUCAGUGACUCUCAGAAGUUCUUCCUUCAGAUGGACUUUUUUGCCACCUUUGUCUUUGGCCUCCUCUGGCUGGCCUUCCCCGAUUGGCUCCUAGGAUUCCAGCCCAUUACAGGUUCUGAGGACACCUUCCAUCUUCACCUCAGUAGAGCCUUUGGCGCCAUGAUGGUGGGUGACAGUUUUGUCUCUUUUACAACACAGAAUUUCCAACCCAACAAAGAAAAGCCAUCCGUGUUCAUAAGCCGAGCAGUGGGCAGCUUGGUGCUGCUGGUGUUCCUGGUCCACUCUCAGCUGACCACCUCUGCCUGGGCCCCUGCCCAGAUCUGGUUUGGCCUGGUGGGAGCCAGCCUCUGGACAGGAAACUCCAUCUUAGGUUACCUCAGCUCUAAACAACAAAAUAUGUAAGAAGUCCAUUCACAUAGACACUGAACACAACAGUCACAACAUAACAGGCAGAAGUUACAUUGAACCCUCUUCUGUGUCCCACAAGACUGUUAGCCGCUUAAGUGAAGUUGAUCACGUGAGCAUGGUUAAUCAAACCACAGCUGUUGCACAGAAAGCAGAGGCAGAUUCUCUGGGAACCUGGAGUGACUUAGAAUGAGUGAUUAUUUAUUGUUAAACAAUUUCCAUCCUAUGUUGUUCAGUCUUAUGAUUUUCAUACUUCACCAUGAAUGAGAUGGUGAUGGUCAUUGCUGACAGAGGUGGAAAGAGACUCUUUGGAAAUCUAAAUGUCUAAAUAUACUGUACUGUACAUUUGUAAAUGUGUAACUCCUCUGAGAGGAGGUUAGAAGCCAUCGGAGAUUGUAAAAGACACUUGACCCCACCAUUCCACUGUACAGAAGUGAAUAGUAAGUAUGCAGGCUCAGCCUUAGAAACAUAAUUAUGAAAUAACUUUUUAGUAACUAUUGAUGGGAAGCGUGGAGGUGUUGUAGCUGCACCCAUAUGACUAAAUAGAUGUAACUGACGUUGAAAUUCUGUCAAGGAAUAAAAGUGAAGGGAAAUGUUACUCAGAAACAUUGUGAUAUUCUAAUCUAGUGCUUCCUUUUUAUUUAUCCUGCUCCAAGGCUUGAACUCUCUGUAACCACUAGAUGGUGCUAUGCACAUGGCCAUGGAGUGCCUCUGAAUGGAUUUGAAUCAUAGGGAAUCUAGCUUUUAAUAGCCCAUCGUUCCUAUCAUUAUAUUUCCAUGACAUAGUCU